AGGAUGAACGCUGGCGGCGUGCCUAAUGCAUGUAAGUCGCACGCACCACUUCGGUGGUGAGUGGCGGACGGCUGAGGAACACGUGGGUAUCUGCCCUGGGGUGGGGGAUAACGCAGCGAAAGCUGUGCUAAUCCCGCAUACGUUCCCACUUUUAGCGAGUGGGAGGAAAGCAGUAAUGCGCCCUAGGAGGAGCCUGCGGCCCAUCAGGUAGUUGGCGGGGUAACGGCCCACCAAGCCGGUGACGGGUCCCUGGUCCUGAGAGGACGACCAGGCAGACUGGGACUGUGACACGGCCCAGACUCCUACGGGAGGCAGCAGCAAGGAAUUUUCGGCAAUGGGCGCAAGCCUGACCGAGCAACGCCGCGUGGAGGAUGACGGCUUUCGGGUUGUAAACUCCUUUUGCCAGGGAAGAUACGGACGGUACCUGGCGAAUAACGCCCCGGCUAACUCUGUGCCAGCAGCCGC
rnacentral:rRNA from 1 species